rnacentral:rRNA from 1 species
CCUACGGGAGGUAGCAGUGGGGAAUAUUGCGCAAUGGGCGAAAGCCUGACGCAGCGACGCCGCGUGAGGGAUGAAGGUCUUCGGAUCGUAAACCUCUGUCAGCAGGGAAGAACGGUCACUGUGCUAAUCAGCAGUGAAUUGACGGUACCUGCAAAGGAAGCACCGGCUAACUCCGUGCCAGCAGCCGCGGUAAUACGGAGGGUGCGAGCGUUAAUCGGAAUUACUGGGCGUAAAGCGCUCGUAGGCGGUAGGUCAAGUCAAGGGUGAAAUCCCCGCGCUCAACGUGGGAACUGCCUUUGAAACUGGCAAACUGGAGUGUGGGAGAGGAUAGUGGAAGUCCAGGUGUAGGAGUGAAAUGCGUAGAUAUCUGGAGGAACAUCAGUGGCGAAGGCGACUAUCUGGCACAUAACUGACGCUGAGGAGCGAAAGCGUGGGUAGCAAACAGGAUUAGAUACCCUGGUAGUC